GCACUGCUGAUGAGUCUCAAACAGGACGAAACAGCUGUCCAGUGC
rfam:Echinostoma caproni strain Egypt genome assembly, scaffold: ECPE_scaffold0000165